AAAUGACUCUCGGCAACGGAUAUCUCGGCUCUUGCAUCGAUGAAGAACGUAGCGAAAUGCGAUACUUGGUGUGAAUUGCAGAAUCCCGUGAACCAUCGAGUCUUUGAACGCAAGUUGCGCCCGAARCCAUUAGGNUGAGGGCACGCCUGCCUGGGUGUCACAU
rnacentral:rRNA from 1 species